GCCGGUGUAGCCCAAUAGGUAGAGGUGCCAGGUCGAGAACCUGGAGGUUGCGGGUUCGACUCCCGCCGCCGGCAC
rnacentral:tRNA from 1 species